UUUAGUAGAGAUGGGCAACCUUUGUUUUAUGCUUGCAAAACAAAACCUCUGCAAUUUAACUUUAGCUCUUUUGUUUUGCUUAAGUCUUCAAAUGGUGGGGCAUAUCAUUUGCUCCUAUUCUUGUGUAGUGUUAUGUAAGCUUCUUAAAAUAGGGAGAAUGAUUGCCCGCUUUUCCAAAAAUGUUUCAAAUUAUAAUGUGAAUGUUUUUGUUGCCAAACUAAUGCACUUGUCAUCUUUAUGAUGUUAUCUACCAGGGGAUAUUUGGUUUAUACCAUGGUGAUAACCAAUAGAGGCAAUUGCUAAGUUGUGAUGCACUCAUACCUUUACUAGAUGCGAACAAUUCCGGAGAAGAAGAAGAAGUGGAAUCGGAUGAGAAGAUUAUUUAUAUUGUUGGAAUUCUUAUAUUGAUGGAGUUGAAGAAGUACAGGGACAAAUAAGCCAAGGCAAGCCAUCUUUUGACCUCUGAUUUGGUGUCUAGUUGGAUGUCAUUUGUUGAUGUCCAAAGCACCUUGGUUCUAUGUGUGUUGUUCUCCUUA